GAUGAACGCUGGCGGCGUGCCUAAUACAUGCAAGUCGAGCGAACGGACGAGAAGCUUGCUUCUCUGAUGUUAGCGGCGGACGGGUGAGUAACACGUGGAUAACCUACCUAUACGACUGGGAUAACUUCGGGAAACCGGAGCUAAUACCGGAUAAUAUUUUGAACCGCAUGGUUCAAAAGUGAAAGACGGUCUUGCUGUCACUUAUAGAUGGAUCCGCGCUGCAUUAGCUAGUUGGUAAGGUAACGGCUUACCAAGGCAACGAUGCAUAGCCGACCUGAGAGGGUGAUCGGCCACACUGGAACUGAGACACGGUCCAGACUCCUACGGGAGGCAGCAGUAGGGAAUCUUCCGCAAAGGGCGAAAGCCUGACGGAGCAACGCCGCGUGAGUGAUGAAGGUCUUCGGAUCGUAAAACUCUGUUAUUAGGGAAGAACAUAUGUGUAAGUAACUGUGCACAUCUUGACGGUACCUAAUCAGAAAGCCACGGCUAACUACGUG
rnacentral:rRNA from 1 species